ACGCUCGACACCUACAGGAGGCAGCAGUCGGGAAUAUUGCGCAAUGGAGGAAACUCUGACGCAGUGACGCCGCGUGCAGGAAGAAGGUUUUCGGAUUGUAAACUGCUUUAGACAGGGAAGAAAGAAAUGACAGUACCUGUAGAAUAAGCUCCGGCUAACUACGUGCCAGCAGCCGACGGUAAUCUGAGGCGGGCGUGGACGAAGGC
rnacentral:rRNA from 1 species